rnacentral:tRNA from 1 species
CAUUAGAUGGCUGAAAGUAAGCAAUGGAAUUUUAAAUCAUUUAAUGAUAAGUUACGUUUAUCUCUAAUG